rnacentral:lncRNA from 1 species
AAAUUCUGUCUGUAUGAUAUAAUGCAGUGAUGUAAUUGAUUCUACUUCCUGAUGAAUAGCCUGCUGGAUUAACACCAUAUGUUACAAAACCCACCAUUUUUCCAAGUGAAAUAUCACCUUAGCUAUAUGUUAAAUCCUCAUACAUACUAGGUUUUAUUUUCAGAUUCUGAAUUCUUAACCACUGAUCUGUAGCCAAUGCCACAUUGAUUCAAAUACAUUGAAUUCUAUCACGUUCUCAGCUGGCAGAGCAAAUGUUCCUCGCUAUUCCCCCUAUUUCAGAAAUGUCUUACAUUAUCUCAGACAUGUAUCCCUUCAUUUAAAAUCUUAAAACAUUCAUUAGAUUGGAAAAGAAUUUUCUGGGAAUUCUCAGCAACAACGUUUUUCAUUCUCCAGUUCUAUCUAGGGCAUAUUUUAAUGUUAAUUCCUUUAUGCAAAAGCUGAUACCAAUAUUUAUUCUUCAUUAAUUUAUAUUCUUUAAUAUAAGCUAGCAGGUUCACCACUUUUCUCCUGGGGACUCUUACAGGAUGCAAGGACUCACUGGAAGGGAUGUCGUGUGCUAGGAACAUAUUUUUUCCUGUUCUCUUUCCCCUCCAUUUCCUUGUUCUAGUUAAUAUUUAUGACUAAGAAUUCAUGUUCUGGCUUAGUCAGAGUUCAUCACAGAAAAAGAAUUGAUAAGAUAAAUGGAGGAAGAAGGAAAGGGGAGGGAGAUUUUAACACAUUGGCUCGAAAAAUCAUGAAUGUUGGAAAGGAUUCCACAAUCUUUCUGCAAGCUGGUGACACAGGAAAACUGGCAGCACAUUUUGAUAGAUCCACAGUUAGAAAACAGUGGUUCAUAUUCACUCCAUGUCUGAAGGUCAGAAGAGCAGAGGUGUCAUUACCAAGAGAACAAUGUCCCAGCUCAAUCAUCGGGAGGAGAGAGGAGGGAGACUGCAUCUAACUUUCCUCUGCCUCUGGCUUUUCAGUCUUUCCAGACCCAGGUUUGUAAGAUGCCCAUGAGCAUUGAAGAGGACCAGCCAGCUACCUCACCUGGUCACCAACUCAAGUGCCAUUGUCUUCAGGAAAUCUCCCUGAAGAGAGUCCCAGGCACAUCUGAGCACCCUAGACCCAGUGAAGGGGUACAUGAAAUUAUCAAUCAUCACAGGUUUCAACAUUUGGAGAUAAUGAGCUGCUGGGUGUUUCAGCAUUCACUUUUACAGGUGUUGACUCAUUUAUUUCAUCGUCAGCUGCAAAGCCUUGGAGAUGUGGUUGGCUGGACGAGUGCUUGCCGAGCAUAGACCAUGGCCCUGAGUUCAGUCCCUACCACUGUAGAGAGAAGCCAAUUGUGUUUUAAAAGAACAAAUAUUUUAAAAAUAAUAAGAAAAAAUAAAAUCCUAGAUUACAAUCCACUUUUCUUCCUCUUUUGCAAGACUUUCAUGUGGUAGGAAGUAUUUCUCUGCGAUUCUCUCAAGUACAAUAUUUGGGA